AUCUGUGUUGCGAUGUUUGCAGGCGAAAUGGGUCGUCAUUUGCCCCAGGGCCUUGUGAAGCUCUGGAGUCGCUUCAAGCGUUGGAGAAACCGGAGGAUCCAGCCGGAGCAGCCGGUGGGCGAAGGUGGUCCAGAUGGGCCUAACGGCGUCCACGUCCAUCCUUCACCCACUCCUCAGCAUGGCGGUUGGAUGGACUUUUCUUUCACCCUGAAGGCUGAGUUCAGCGCCUGGCAGGGCCGUCGAUCCCCCCAUGCAAGUUGCCCUAGCGUCUGGCGGGGUAGCUAUUAUGUUUCUUCCACAGCGAUAGAAGGUCAGCUCAGUCACAGUGGCACUGGGGACACAUGUCGUCUCCCACUGAAGCUCCUCGGUGGCAGAUGACUGCAGUGUCAGGUGUUAUGGAGGAGACACAUGGCUGUCUGCAGUCCACAUCCUGCUCCACACUACAGGGAGCAGUGACUGACGGCUACUGACCAUUACGUCUGUCUUUCCAGUGGACAAAGGUGAGUACAAGAUUUGGUUUGGUUGACAGUUUCAAAGGAAGUAGUUGAAUAAAAAUAUAUUUAUAUUUAUUAUGUUAAAUUUU
rnacentral:lncRNA from 1 species